rnacentral:misc_RNA from 1 species
ACACAUUGAACAUCGAUAUCUUGAACGCACAUUGCGGGCCUCGGGCAAUCCCGAGGCCACGCCUGUCUCAGGGUCGGUUGAACGUAUCAAUCGUCGGUCGUCCGAAUCAUGCCGACGCAUUGGAUCGUCGAGGCGCGGGUGAACGAUACCCUACACGGGGGUUCGAGCGGCGGACGGUCCUUUCGGGGGCCGCGCCGUCGUCUCGAGCUGCUCGCGUCUCGUCGUCCGAAGAACAGAAGGGACCGCGCGACCACGCCGGCCGCACGUCCGAAGUCCGCAGGCGGACGGGGACGGCGACUCGGAUACUGGAGACCCGAUCGGCCGUCGCCCGCCGUGGCGGAACGGUCGGCGUGGAAGCGAAGGACCCACAUGUACACGAAGCUCGAAU